UCAAAUUCUAGAGUGGCAUAAGCAAAGUGGCAAAAGUUAGAGUGGCAAAAACAAAGUUUUCCCUUCAAUCAAUCAGGGAACAGUUCACCUCCAAAAGCAGCAGAGCAUCAGCAGGAUGUGAACUUGGCAGUAGGCAGCAGGCAACAGCCAUACCUGCCCUGCCCUUGGUGGAUCUGGAGAGAGGGUGGGGGCCGAGGAGGAGAGAGGACGCCAUGGCCAUUGGACGCAUUGUGGAAGGAGUAGAAUAUUUGCACUGCUACUGCCAACCAUUGGUGAUUCAUUGUGAUCUUAAGCCAACUAGCCAAGCAAGAUUCUUCUUGCUGAAGACAUGAGCGCACGAGUUGGAGACUUUGGCAUAUCAAGGAUCCAUCAAGAAAAUACAAGCAAGGGGAUGCAAACUUCAUAUAGCUCAACUGGAAUUAGAGGUUGGAUAGGCUAUAUUGCUCCAGAGUAUGGAGAUGGCUCUGCGGUCUCAACAGCUGGUGAUAUUUAUAGUCUUGGCAUAUUGCUGCUUGAGAUGUUUACAGGAAGGAGCCCACCAGAGAAUGCACUUCCAGAUGAUGUCGAGGAUGCACGUUCAGAGAUUCCUUGGAUUUGCAUAAAUUUGUCGAGGAUGCACUUCCAAAUAGAACCUUUGAGAUAGCUGACCCAACAAUGUGGCUGCACGGCGGACAACAUGAUAACACUGCAAGUAUUAGAAUCCAGGAGUGCUUGGUCUUGGUCUUCAGGCUUGGCAUAUUCUACUCAAAGCAACAACCUCGAGACCGAGCACUGACGAGAGAUGCAGCAAUGGAGAUGCACGCAAUCAGAGAUGCGUACCUGAAAUUUACAGGGGAGCAUUGAGCAGAAAGAGAAGCCUCGACUCGAGAUUCAGAACAUCAUUGAAUGAACAAGCUGAGUAUGGAGAAGGCUCUGAGGUCUCUACAGCUGGUGAUAUUUAUAGCCUUGGCAUAUUGCUGCUUGCGGUGUUUACUGGAAGGAGCCCAACAGAAGGCAUGUUCAAAGAUUCAUUGGAUCUUCAUAAGUUUGUUGAGGAUGCACUUCAAGAUAGGACCCUGGAGAUAGCUGACCCAAUAAUGUGGCUGCACAGCGGACAAUGGGAUAACACUGCAAGUAUUAGAAUCAUGGAGUUAUUGGUUUCAAUUUUCAGGCUUGGCAUACCCUGCUCCAGGCACAGCUGUAUAAUGAUGGAAUUGCACGAUGUAUUGAUCGGGUGCAAUCGCACGUAUAUAUGAUGUACAACGGUGGACCACGACCUCGACUAUACAAAGAACUAGGAGG